rnacentral:rRNA from 1 species
GCCAUACCACCCUGAACGCGCCCGAUCUCGUCUGAUCUUGGAAGCUAAGCAGGGUCGGGCCUGGUUAGAACUUGGGUGGGAGACAACUGCAGAGUGAGCUCUGACCGCCACUUGUGCUGGGGCAGGCUGC